UUUUCCUUCACUGGGCUCGUAUGCACACUGUCCUUUGAAAAGCUAUAGAGAAGAACUUGGCCACCUGCUUCCUGUCUUUCCAAAUUGGCAUUUCCUGUUGUGGCUCUACUGAACAGCUGUCACUCUAGAUCCUUGAAUGCUGUUCACAUUUUACCAGAGGUUUUAAUCUCACGAGAAGACACACCCACAGUUAGCUCUGUCUUCCGAUGCUGACACUUGGUGAACAGCUGCUCUUGAUCACAAGAUUUAGAAGAUACAGUUCCAUCCUCCCAGAUUGGAUCUAUUUUCAUAUGGAUCUUCUAUUUCUAUAUCUUUUUUAAAAAGAACUUUUGGGAAACAUUUUGGAUUACAAUUAUUGAUAUUCAUCUAUGCAAAGAAAGGAAAGCUGUUGUGCUGGGAUUUUGAAGAGCUUUCCCUAAAAGAAUUCCUGUACACUGUAGAAGUCCUUGAGGAAGAGUGAUAAAGG